AUUGCGCAGGAGCGACGCCAGGGACCCCGGAUCCGGGGCCUUCGCGUCGCUCCUGCGCAAU
rnacentral:pre_miRNA from 1 species